AAGGGAAUUCAGCUGAAUUAUUCCAGGAAUGCAAUGUAACAGUAAAAAUAUUAUAUUUAGUGAAAAUGAGAGUGGACACACGUAAUUCUUGACUGUUGGUGCGAAGUGUUUAAUUAUGCGUUGUUCAAAGUGUUUAAUUAUGUUUUUAUAUACUUUAAAGUUGAAAUUGUUAAUAAAUGCAAAUAAAUAGUGUCGUGAAAGUCGUAGUGCGUUAAAUUUUUCGAUUUUACGGGUGUUUAUAUUGUGCAAAUUCUUUAAGUGCGUCUUUGGGUUCGUUCGUGGGUGUGUAAAUAUGUGUAGGUAUGAACGUAAUAAACCUUGUGCAUUUCGCGGUUGACUUAUUUACGUCAAGCGUGUCGGGUAUUAACUGCGAUAGUCUUGUUAUAAAAAAUAGCAGCUGGUGUAGUAUUUCCAAAGUCGGCCGGUCGUAAGGAACUCGGAGUGCAGCCCCCAUCUAUAACUGAAGCAAGCUGCCAACAAAACCUUCAUUUUUGACCUGCUUUGACUUGCUUUUUCGGCUGCGGCUCAGUUUUGACACGACAUUCAGCCGAUUGACCGUCUGUUUUCGGCUCGUAAGCACAGAUCCAAGACGCAACGUCAGCAAUAAUAUGUUUCAUUCAUCCUGCGAAGACCUUAUUUUACCAACGUUAACGCGACGCUGUUUUUCAAAAAAAUUGUACUCCGUGAGCACAAUUUUUCUGGAACGACCGACCAAACUCAUCUAACUCGGGAAGUUUAUUUCAAACUAAGGUACUAUCCAAUAAGAACAAAAGAGAGAGGACCAUUUUUUGAAGGCGCAGCAGACGGGCAUUAGAGAGCGCGAAGAGCGGGCUGAGGAGAGCAUCUCUUGAAAAUCAAAUCUGGACUGCCUAGUUGCCAAACGAGUUAUUAAACAAAAAGUUGGAUAUUAUCAUCAAAACCUAGUCGUUUAUGGACAAAACGUUCGAAUUAAAGGGUUUUGGACUCGAAAUAUAUAGGGAGAUACUCGGAUAUCCUCUCACAACCCAUUUCAACAACAUCAAUUGGGAGAAAAAAUCAUUUUGGUGAUUUUCUCCUCAAAAAACGGCGCUUUGGUACACAUUUUUAUUUUUCUAAAUUUCUGUGUAAAUGCAAAUUUAAAAUUUCUUUAAUAAAAAUAUUCUCCUUGCGAUUCUGCAAAUUUCUGCAUUUUUACUUUUUCUCUAGGGCCAUUAGUUUAGAAGUUAUAAGCAUUUUUGUACCCGCUUUAA
rnacentral:lncRNA from 1 species